rnacentral:rRNA from 1 species
UACGAAGGGGGCUAGCGUUGCUCGGAAUCACUGGGCGUAAAGCGCACGUAGGCGGCUUUUUAAGUCAGGGGUGAAAUCCUGGAGCUCAACUCCAGAACUGCCUUUGAUACUGAAGAUCUUGAGUUCGGGAGAGGUGAGUGGAACUGCGAGUGUAGAGGUGAAAUUCGUAGAUAUUCGCAAGAACACCAGUGGCGAAGGCGGCUCACUGGCCCGGUACUGACGCUGAGGCACGAAAGCGUGGGGAGCAAACAGG